rnacentral:rRNA from 1 species
GGAGCUUGCUCCUUGAUGUUAGCGGCGGACGGGUGAGUAACACGUGGGUAACCUGCCUGUAAGACUGGGAUAACUCCGGGAAACCGGGGCUAAUACCGGAUGGUUGUUUGAACCGCAUGGUUCAAACAUAAAAGGUGGCCUUCGGCUACCACUUACAGAUGGACCCGCGGCGCAUUAGCUAGUUGGUGAGGUAACUGGCUCACCAAGGCAACGAUGCGUAGCCGACCUGAGAGGGUGAUCGGCCACACUGGGACUGAGACACGGCCCAGACUCCUACGGGAGGCAGCAGUAGGGAAUCUUCCGCAAUGGACGAAAGUCUGACGGAGCAACGCCGCGUGAGUGAUGAAGGUUUUCGGAUCGUAAAGCUCUGUUGUUAGGGAAGAACAAGUACCGUUCGAAUAGGGCGGUACCUUGACGGUACCUAACCAGAAAGCCACGGCUAACUACGUGCCAGCAGCCGCGGUAAUACGUAGGUGGCAAGCGUUGUCCGGAAUUAUUGGGCGUAAAGGGCUCGCAGGCGGUUUCUUAAGUCUGAUGUGAAAGCCCCCGGCUCAACCGGGGAGGGUCAUUGGAAACUGGGGAACUUGAGUGCAGAAGAGGAGAGUGGAAUUCCACGUGUAGCGGUGAAAUGCGUAAAGAUGUGGAGGAACACCAGUGGCGAAGGCGACUCUCUGGUCUGUAACUGACGCUGAGGAGCGAAAGCGUGGGGAGCGAACAGGAUUAGAUACCCUGGUAGUCCACGCCGUAAACGAUGAGUGCUAG